GAGUUUGAUCAUGGCCAGGACGAACGCUGGCGGCGUGCCUAACACAUGCAAGUCGAACGAGGUCCAAGGAGUGCUUGCACUCCUGAAGACCUAGUGGCGAACGGGUGAGUAACACGUGAGAAACCUGCCCCAGACUCUGGGAUAACCCAAGGAAACUUGAGCUAAUACCGGAUACCCUCCUGCGGUCGCAUGGCUGCUUGAGGAAAGUUUUUCGGUCUGGGAGGGUCUCGCGGCCUAUCAGCUAGUUGGUGGGGUAACGGCCCACCAAGGCUACGACGGGUAGCUGGUUUGAGAGAACGAUCAGCCACACUGGAACUGAGACACGGUCCAGACUCCUACGGGAGGCAGCAGUGGGGAAUCUUGCGCAAUGGGCGAAAGCCUGACGCAGCAACGCCGCGUGCGGGAUGAAUGCCUUCGGGUUGUAAACCGCUUUCAGCAGGGACGAAAAUGACGGUACCUGCAGAAGAAGCCCCGGCUAACUACGUGCCAGCAGCGCGGUAA
rnacentral:rRNA from 1 species